GAUGAACGCUGGCGGCGUGCCUAAUACAUGCAAGUCGAGCGAACAGACGAGGAGCUUGCUCCUCUGACGUUAGCGGAGGACGGGUGUGUAACACGUGGAUCAUCUCCCUAUAUGUCUGGUAUCAUUUGGGGAAACCGGCGCUAAUACCGGAUAAUAUAUUGCACCGCAUGGUUCAAUAGUGAAUGACGGUUUUGCUGUCUCUACUAGAUGGUUCUGCGCCGCAUUAGCUAGUUGGUACGGUAACGGCUUACCAAGGCAACGAUGCGUAGCCGACCUGAGAGGGUGAUCGGCCACACUAGAGGGUGAACACGCACCAUACUCCUACGGUAGGCAGCAGAAUGGAAUCUUCCGCAAUAGUCGAAAGCCUUACGGAACAACGCCGCGUGAGAGAUGAAGGUCUUCGGAUCGUAAAACUCUGUUAUGAGGGAAGAACAAAUGUGGAAGUAACUAUGCACGUCUUGACGGUACCGAGUCAGAAAGCCACGGCUAACUACGUG
rnacentral:rRNA from 1 species